GGCUGGUCCGAGUGCAGUGGUGUUUACAAUUAAUUGAUCACAGCCAAUUACAGAUUUCUUUGUUCCUUCUCCACUCCCACUGCUUCACUUGACCAGCCUAAA
rnacentral:Y_RNA from 10 species